rnacentral:rRNA from 1 species
AGCAGCCGCGGUAAUUCCAGCUCCAAUAGCGUAUAUUAAAGUUGUUGCAGUUAAAAAGCUCGUAGUUGAAUUUCGAGAUCAAGUUGUUGGUCGUGCCUCGGUACGUACUGGCAUUAUUGAUUUCCUCCCUUCUGAAGAACCUUGAUGUCAUUUAAUUUGGUGUCGUUGGGGAAUCAGGGACCGUUUACUUUAGAAAAAAUUAGAGUGUUUAAAGCAGGCUCACGCUUGAAUACAUUAGCACGGAAUAAUGAAAUAGGACGUUUGAUUCUAUUUUGUUGGUUUCUAGGAUCGACGUAAUGAUUAAUAGGGAUAGUUGGGGGCAUUAGUAUUCAAUUGUCAGAGGUGAAAUUCUUGGAUUUAUUGAAGACUAACUACUGCGAAAGCAUUUGCCAAGGAUGUUUUCAUUAAUCAAGAACGAAAGUUAGGGGAUCGAAGACGAUCAGAUACCGUCGUAGUCUUAACCAUAAACUAUGCCGACUAGGGAUCGGAUGAUGUUAAUUUUUUAAUGACUCAUUCGGCGCCUUAC